CGGCCGCCGAGGAGCCCCGGCUGAGCCUGGUCCAGAGCCGUGCGCUCCUCCCCGCCGAGUGAUGUCACCGCUCCGCGCAGCGCGCAGCCGCGGGGGGCUACACUCCUGGGACCCCGACCCUGUUCUGGCAGCGCCGCCUCCGACCUAGCGCAGCCUGCCGGGGCUCCCCGAGGGAAUGUCCAGUCAGGCUCAGACCGAUGGGGAAACUGAGGACAGGGGUCGCAUACACGGGGCGGGGCGCCAUUCUUCAACUUCCAAGUCUCUGCCUUCACUCCAGCAGCAUCCUAUCCUCCCUUCUUUUCUUCUAAAUAGAGAAACUAAGGCCUGAAGUCGCAGGUGCAGGGAGUGAUCCCCUAACCCCGAGGCCACCCUUCACCACUGUUCCAGCAACAUCCUGCCCUUCUUUACUUCUAAGUUGAGAAACUGAGGCCUGGCUUUGUAGAGCUAUCCUCCGGCCCCUAAGUAUCCCUUAAGCCACUGUUCCACCGGGUUUGCUCAGUGAGGAAACCGAGGGCUAGGGUAAGGAUAAGGCACAAAAGGGAACUUGAGGUCUGGGUGGUAGAGGCAGGAUGAGACUAUCCGGGUCCUUGACACGUUCAGUCAUAUCCUGCCCAACUUUACUUCUAAAUAGGGUCCAAAUAGGGCCUGGGCCAGUGCACAGGCUGGGGUCCAGGACAAGAGAACCUCAGACUCAGAGGGUACCCCCUCCAACUGAACCUUCUUUACUGGUUAGUGGGAAAACUGAACCCUGGAGCAAGGCCAAGGCUUAAAGGGAAACUGAGGCCUGGAAGUGAAGCAAGUGCCCAGGACACCGCGGGUGGCGCUGCGUCUGGAGAAGUCUAAAGGUGACCAUGGGUCGCUUCUGCUGGCUCCUGGCCUGUUUCCUAGGCUGUAAGCAAAGGACAUCCAUCGGUUCUUUGGGUUCAUAUUGGAACCCGAGGGUCAGAACUCUCAGGCCUGCCAACAGCCCCAGCCCAGGCUCAAGAGACCUCGGAGACACCGAUUCAGACCCCAAGGGGAUUCCUUCUGUGAGGGAAGGGGUUGUCAUCAUCACCCUGCCUCUGUCCCCCGCCCUUUCCAGGACAGUACUGCCGGGAAACAAAGAGAAGAGUGCUGGGCGGGGCAGGGUGCGGAGGAGGGGCAAGGCCGGCCAGAUCGAUGCGAGAGAAACUAGAUCACUGCCUGUGGAGGGGGCGGAGGCGCGCGCGCCUGGCUCUCAGCCACUUCCACACAGGCACUCUCAGGAGCCCAGCCAGGUCGCCUUUGGUGUUGUCUGCUGGAAGAGGAGCGCCACUGGGCUGAAGUCUGAAAAAUGGCUGUAGAAUCUAGCUGAUUAAGUGUGGACCAAGGCGUUCCCGGUCUGGGUGCACAAACAUCACUGAAUGGGGAGGUUAUAGGGCUGGCUCUACUCUUUAAUCUGCGGCAACAAAUGACGUAAAUAAUACUCUAAUAAACUCCUACACAUCCCUCAAAGCCCAGCUUCACAGUACCCCUUCCCAAGAACCUAACUGGUCCCAUGAUCCAAACCCAGGCUCUGUCUCUGGUCUCCUGCUGCCAGGGGCCCCCAUUUGCCCCAUCUGAACCGAAUGAGGUUUGCAAAGUUGUUUAGUGCUUUCUUUGCGGCGUGGUUAGAAGUGCUAAAUAAACCAAUGUGCACAAUGCUAA
rnacentral:lncRNA from 1 species